rnacentral:ncRNA from 2 species
ACAUUUGCAGCGAAUUUUGGUUUCGUUCAAUUUUAAUUGUUCGGAUUAAAAGGGAAUCAAGUGCAUUGACUUACGAUUUAUUUCAUUUAAAAAUAAUCGUAACUCUUUAAUUCUUGAGCUGUUCCCGCAACUGUAAGUUUAUGCUUAACAUAUUUAUUUGUAAAUAUUUAAUGUAAGUACUCUAUAGAGGAGGUGUUAUUAACUUCAAAACCACUGGUAAAUUACUGGGAAGGUGAAAUAACAUAAAACAAGCCAGGAGACCUGCCAAUAUUCAUCAUAUAAA